rfam:Schistosoma mansoni strain Puerto Rico chromosome 3, complete genome
GCACUUCUGAAAAGUCCUACAAUAAGACGAAACGGCCGUCCAGUGC